AGGGAAACUGGAAAAACCAUGCCAAUUGCAUAACUCUCAUUGGGGAAUGAUGUGCCCUGCUGAAACACCCGAAGGACAUGCUUGUGGCUUGGUUAAAAAUCUUGCCUUGAUGGUUUAUAUCACUGUUGGCUCUGCCGCAAAUCCUAUUUUGGAAUUUUUGGAAGAAUGGGGCACAGAAAAUUUUGAGGAGAUAUCACCGGCAGUCAUUCCUCAAGCUGCUAAAAUAUUUUUCAAUGGUUGUUGGG